rnacentral:rRNA from 1 species
UACGUAGGGGGCUAGCGUUAUCCGGAAUUACUGGGCGUAAAGGGUGCGUAGGUGGUUUCUUAAGUCAGAGGUGAAAGGCUACGGCUCAACCGUAGUAAGCCUUUGAAACUGAGAAACUUGAGUGCAGGAGAGGAGAGUGGAAUUCCUAGUGUAGCGGUGAAAUGCGUAGAUAUUAGGAGGAACACCAGUUGCGAAGGCGGCUCUCUGGACUGUAACUGACACUGAGGCACGAAGGCGUGGGGAUCGAACAGGAUUAGAUACCCUGGUAGUCCCUGA